rnacentral:rRNA from 1 species
GUCUACAGCCAUACCACCCUGAACUCACCAGGUCUCAGAAGCUAAGCAGAGUUGGACCUAGUUAGUACUUGGAUGGGAAACAAUGUUUUUUUUGUUUUGUUUUGUUUUUUUAAGAAAACCAAAACAUUGUAUAUC